UACCAGCACCCCGAGUGGUCGGGACGAUUAUUGGGCCUAAAGCAUCCGUAGCCGGUUCUACUAGUCUUCCGUUAAAUCCACCUGCUUAACAGAUGGGCUGCGGAGGAUACUAUGGAGCUAGGAGGCGGGAGAGGCAAGCGGUACUUAGUGGGUAGGGGUAAAAUCCGUUGAUCCAUUGAAGACCACCAGUGGCGAAGGCGGCUUGCCAGAACGCACUCGACGGUGAGGGAUGAAAGCUGGGGGAGCAAACCGG
rnacentral:rRNA from 1 species